UACGUAGGGGGCAAGCGUUAUCCGGAUUUAUUGGGCGUAAAGAGCUCGUAGGCGGCCGUUCGCGUCGGAUGUGAAAGCUCAGGGCUCAACUCUGAGAUGCCAUUCGAUACGGGACGGCUAGAGGUAGGUAGGGGAGAGUGGAAUUCCUGGUGUAGCGGUGAAAUGCGUAGAGAUCAGGAAGAACAUCGGUGGCGAAGGCGCUCUGCUGGACCAUAACUGACACUCAGGGACGAAAGCUAGGGGAGCGAAUGGG
rnacentral:rRNA from 1 species